rnacentral:rRNA from 1 species
GCGCACCAGGCGCGAAACUUUACAAUGUGCGAAAGCACGAUAAGGGAACUCUGAGUGCCUCCUAAGGAGGCUGUUCAGGUGUCUAAAAGCACCUGGAGUAAGGGCUGGGUAAGACCGGUGCCAGCCGCCGCGGUAACACCGGCAGCCCAGGUGGUAGCCACUUUUAUUGGGUCUAAAGCGUCCGUAGCCGGUUGAGUAAGUUCCUUGGGAAAUUUGGCUGCUCAAACAGUCAAGCUUCCAGGGAAUACUGCUCGACUUGGGACUGGGAGAGGUCAGAGGUACUCCAGGGGUAGGGUGAAAUCCAUUAAUCCCUGGGGACCACCGGUAGCGAAGGCGUCUGACCAGACCAGGUCCGACGGUGAGGGACGAAGGCUAGGGUCGCGAACCGGAUUAGAUACCCC